UAAUUUUAGGAAAGGAUUUAGUUCUGUGUUUUUUUUAAACGUUCUAAUGGGUCAUUUCGUGAAACCGAUCGUGUGACUCGAUUUAAAUUAA
rnacentral:tRNA from 1 species